rnacentral:tRNA from 1 species
GGAGGGGUCUCCUAACGGUAUGGAAAUGCUCUCGAAAAGCAUCGCUCUUUAUGGGCUUGUGGGUUCGAAUCCCACCCCCUCCG